UUCACUUUUGCUAGAUUUACUCAAAGGAAAAAAAUGAAGUAUGAUGGCCAUACUCAUUAGAGUCAGGAGCUAUAAUGGACUGUAAAGCAAGGAUAUGCUCUACAUGGAUGCAAUUGCUCUGGCCCCUAAUUACUACUGCUUUCCCUGAAAUCCUUAAAAACCAUGUGGACUCAAGUGUCAGCUUACCUGGUCCGAUUGCUUCUAAAUGAGCCACCAUUUUGCAUUCAAGGCAAGAGAAAAAAGAUCCCAUUCAAUACUUGCCACUUAUUUCUUCAGAAGAAAUUGUUAAGAGGGUGCUAGCUUUUUUGAUUUAGUAUAACUUCAUUCAUUGCAGAAGCUGAAGAACUUCACUAUCCAAUUAUGAAUUCUUUUGCUGAAUACUGGUUGAUCUUUGUGAUUAAGAACCAGAGGACAGUUUGCUACAUCAGCACUUGGUCCCUGGGAUAGCAGUAAGAUGGCUGAGUAGAAGAGCAGAAAUUCUCCACACCUGGUGAAACUUCUCACUUCAGAAACCAAAGCAAGAAAGAAUUUACCAUCAAACAUCUGGAAAACAGGCAAUGUGAGAUUUCAUAUUGCUUUGCUUACAGCUGCAACAGUGGUCCUAUAGUGCAUCUUCUUGUUUUUGCUACCUUAAAAGAAAUAAAUCUCAUUCCUUUCUAACUGCCUUUCAAAGGAAAGGGCACAGGAGGAUUUUGCUUCUACCAGAUUUGAUUUAGUCAUAAAGACAUUGAGGGACACAGCAAACUGGUGCGACAUUUGUCGAUAACAUAAUAUUGAAAAUGCCUUCUAUGUGGAUUGUUGGAUUGAGGAUGCAUAAAUGAAAUUUCUUAAACCUUUUGUGCAGCUGGGCAAGGUCUUUUGAUCAAAGUCUAUUCAGUAAUUGUACCCUAGAGAAUGACUUCUUCCUGCUUGUUGCCUUUUCCACAUAGUGAAAAUUCAAAUGGAGAUAGUGAUAUAAAGCAGUUGCUCCAUCAAAACAGGGGCACAACAGGAAGUUUUGCACAACUUCUGAUGACAGAGGAGGCAGCGUAUGUACCCUCAAACUGUCAGUUAAUGAGAAACCCUGCAAGCUACUGUUUGUUACAUUCUUAAACUUUCUUCAGGUUGCUGUGUGCUGCCAAGUCACUGCAGAGAGGCUGGAAAACUACAUCUGAGAAGUCCUCUCUGAGGAAGUGAGGAACCGAGGACAGAUGGAGAAGUUAUGAAUAUAAACUAAAACCUAUCCUCUGCUCCAUCAUGAGUGUGAGGCUACGAAGUGUGAGACUGUUCUCUGAGAGCAACUGAGUCUAGCUGGCUUCUGAUUGCCUUGAAAGUUGUAAAUUUCAUUUGGGAACAUUCAACACAUGUCACAGUUCUUACAGAGUUCUGAGUAAGAAAACAGUACUUAGAGGAAUACUAAGCAUGAGCCAUCUGAAUUGAAGAUUUUCUUCCCCUAAGUGAAGAAUGAAAACCAUUUUUUUUUCCCCCCGUUUUUUUAUUUCUUGCCACAUCUGCGAAGUUUUACAGACAAGACAUUCCAGCUCUAGGAAUAGAAAUAGCUUCACCUCUGUCAUUCACUAUAGUUUAAUCGGGCACUUGCCAUGGACCCCUCUCCAGUGAGUUAAAUCUGAUUUUUCAGCUGAGUUCCUAAAUUCCAACCACACACACACUUUGGCAAGGCAGAUUAGAAUAAGAAUUUGCUAUUAUUUCGUCUUCAGCAGUGUUGCUUUCAUGCAGCAAGAGAAGAUAACAUUGCCAAGAGCUAAAAGCGCAACAAAUGCUUCCUUCUGAGAUCACUGAAAAAUUAUUUUGAUUUUUCUACUGGACAACCGGUUAUAAUCUCCUAUACCUAUGGAACAAAUGAAGAAAUUAGAAUUAUUUAAAUCUGUUUGCCAUUUACAUCAUCUGUUUAUCUAGUUCGUGACAGCCCUAUGCACUUUUAGGGAAUCCUGAGUCUUUCAUUCAUACAUUUAUUCUUUUACCUUUUACCAUUUUUCUGCCUUGCUGUGUUCUCUAAUGAGUCUCUCUAAGAAAUGGCUGUUACUGCUGUUAGGUAAUGGAAAAUCUUUUUUGCUCUUGAACACAGUUGCUUCUGCAUCCUAUUACCAUUUUUCCUUUUCUAGGCAAUGAACACCACAUGAGUUUCAUUUUCUAAUCCAGAAAAAGAUGCUGCAGCUAAAUUAGCCUGGAUUAGAAACACUGAGAAGAUUUCCUUUUUCAUCACAGUCUCUACACAUACUAGGGAAACAGACUUUACUUAACAUUGAGAACAGUAGAUUUAAUCGCAUAACUGUGUAACAGGCCUAAUUGGUCUUACCCAUGCAACUACAGAAACAGAAAUACAUUCUCAAAGCUUAGACAUAUGCUUUCUCUGCAGUACUGAUUCACUUGAAAAGAAAUUCCUCCUGUCUUAUUUGCAUAUAUUUAGAUGUUCUAUUUGUUUAAAAAUGAUGCCCAGCACUUCCUGUUUUAGUUCAUAACUCUAAAAAAAGAAGUGCCCUGUCACCAAAACAAAUCACUAGAAUUAUUCAUGUGUUAAACAACAUCAAUCAUGAUGAAUAUUUUUUUUCACAGUCAAAAUUCAUAUAAGGUUGCCAAAGUAAAUGGCUUCAUUUUCAAAGUUUCUCAGUUCAGUUUUCUUCAGAAGGACCUGGAGUUGUUAAGAAAAUUCUGACAACAGCUAAUUUUGUCCCCUAACUUCACAUACAUUAACUGAAACCCAGUCUACUAAGGAAUGACCCAGAUGAGU